UUUUUUAUCCAAGCAGAUACCCCAACCUCUCCUUCCUCCUUACCGUCGACCUCUUCUCCACAAAUAGUGACUGACGAGGCCACUGAAGAUGUUCCCUUCCAGCCAACAUAUGCGGCCAUCGCAAAACCCGGGGCUGAGAAUGGUGAUGACCUCGACACUGAGACACACGAUGACGAAGAGAACUCGAUGGCUGUUUACCACGCGCUGAGCCUGGUCAACGUUUGACCAACAGUUCACUGUGGUAAAAGGU